rnacentral:sRNA from 1 species
CCCACGGCUUACGCCCCUUCGACUUCGCUCAGGGCAGGCUGUGGGCUGCAUUCUUACGCCGCUUCGCGGCU